GACUCGGUGGCGGAAGGUCCGCGUCUCCUGCUGCUAGGCGUUCCAAUCAAAAAGCUUAAACGGAGAAGCCGCCCGUUCGAUUCGGGCCCGAGUCA